UAUCUGGUUGAUCCUGCCAGUAGUCAUAUGCUUGUCUCAAAGAUUAAGCCAUGCAUGUCUAAGUAUAAGCAAUUUAUACAGUGAAACUGCGAAUGGCUCAUUAAAUCAGUUAUCGUUUAUUUGAUAGUUCCWUUACUACAUGGAAUACCUGCUGKYWMUUMUASAGCUAAUACAUGCUUAAAAUCCCKACUGUUAUGGAAGGGWUGUAUUUAUUAGWUAAAAAAKCAAUGUCUUCGGACUCUUUGAUGAUUCAUAAUAACUUUUCGAAUCGCAUGGCCUUGUGCUKGCGAUGGUUCAUUCAAAUUUCUGMCCUAUCAAYUUUCGAUGGUAGGAUAGUGGCCUACCAYGGUUUCAACGGGUAACGGGGAAUAAGGGUUCGAUUCCGGAGAGGGAGCCUGAGAAACGGCYACCACAUMCAAGGAAGGCAGCAGGCGCGCAAAUKACCCAAUCCYRAYWCRGGGAGGKAGUGACAAUAAAUAACGAUACAGSGCCCUUUCGGGUCUUGUAAUUGGAAUGAGUACAAUGUAAAUACCUUAACGAGGAACAAUUGGAGGGCAAGUCUGGUGCCAGCAGCCGCGGUAAUUCCAGCUCCAAGAGCGUAUAUUAAAGUUGUUGCAGUUAAAAAGCUCGUAGUUGUACUUUGGGUUUGGUUGACCGGUCCGAUUUUUUUCGUGUACUGGCUCGACUGAAUCUUUCCUUCUGGCUAACCUUCAGUGUUUACUCUGUAGGCGAACCAGGACUUUUACAUUGAAAAAAUUAGAGUGUUCAUAGCAGGCGAUAGCUCGAAUAUAUUAGCAUGGAAUAAUAGAAUAAAACGUUUGGUUCUAUUUUGUUGGUUUCUAGGACCAUCGUAAUGAGUAAUAGGGACGGUCGGGGGCAUCAGCAGUCAAGGGUCAGAGGGGAAAUUCUUGGAGUUAUUGAAGACUAACUACUGCGAAAGCAGUUGCCAAGGACGUUUUGAUUAAUCAAGAACGAAAGUUAGGGGAGCGAAGA
rnacentral:ncRNA from 1 species